AAUAAAACACUUGCUUUUCUUUUUGAGAAAAAUUAGGUUCUUUUUCAUCUAUUUAAUUAUUGUCCAUGUCAAAUGCUUGGUUUUGAAAACUGAGGAAUUCUAUCUGACAAAGAUGAAACUAGCUAUAGUUGCUUGUAAAUCAUCCUUUCUAGUGAUCACAUAAAAUGAACAGUAGAGAGAAAAUAAGUUAGGAAUUGAACCUAUACAUUUAUCUUAUAAUUUUGCUGACUUAAAUUUUCCUUUCUUGGUUUAUGAUGCCAGCAGAACUUCUGUGUAAAAUUAUAGUCUGUUCUACUGUUCUCAGUUUCAGGCAACUGAUUUCAAAUGCCUAUGAAACCACUCCAGUUAAGCCACAUGGGGGUGCUAGAAACUUAUAGUAUGCCAGUCACAGCAGUGGAAAAGACCUGGGGUGGAAAACAGCAGAUGUUAUUGUGAUUUAAAUUUCCACUUGAUAUACGUUCUGAUUUUUGGACAAAUUCAAUGUUUUAAUUGAACAGUUUUCGUUACAACCAGAAGGCAGGUUGAGAUUCUAACUAAGCAUAAAUAAGGGUAUAUUGAUAGUGAAAAAGGUCCUUGGAGGAUUAAAACAACACACUGUAACAGAUCACUUAUAAUAUUUUUCUGACUUCCACAUUCUGUUGCAUUUAUUUGCCGACAAUUUGACAUUUUCAAUCUCCAUUUUCUGGCAUAAAUAUAUUUGUAAAUAGGGAUAUUUUCUAUUGUUCAUAAUGAUCUACAUUUAAAACUCUUUAUGUAAAGCUUUAUAUCAUUUCAAAAAUUUAAAAAACUUAUACUUAAAAUCAUUUCUGCUGUAUAAAUUUGUUUUUGAUCCAGGGAGGUUGAAGUGUCUAUUAUAUAGCAAAAGCUAAAGUAAACCUGAAGUGAAACUCACAGAUGAUCCAUGGCAUUAGCAAACCUAAACCCUCAACUCAUUAUCUGAGUGUCACUUUAUGGUUUAAUUCCUUUCUUUUUGAAGUGUCAUUGAUGCACACAUAGCAAUUUGAUAACGAUUGUUGUUUAGCGGUAUUAGAUAAAUAACAAGAAUAGAUGGCCACUAAAGCUACCUGUCUCAAUCAUUUUGUGGCACAUAGGGGUCUGAAGUUGAAAGGAUAUGACAGCUGAUGGAAUGAAUGUUAAGUAUGUAAGGCCUUGAGUUUCCUUGCCCUAUUUUAAUUGUACUCACCAUUAGUCUGGGUCAUGAGUCCUCUGCUUUUUCUCAGCCCCUCAAUAUCCAGGGAGGCUUAGUCAUCAAGGUAUGUACUGCUCCGGCAGUAACAAGAGCUCCCUAUUAAUGACCUAUAGCUGACUUACAUAUUGCCAGUUUGGAGAGGGGCUGAGAAGAUUAGUUGUUCUUUUUCAUUUGUAUUUAUUUAUGGUUUACUUUGAAGAUCUCAACUGCUUCUGUGUUAGAAUGACUGUCUUUAGCUAUAGGAUUAGGAGCUAGCGAUUUAUUUGGUGUGUGUUCAGAGAACUCCAAAAUUCUCCUGCCUCGACAUCUAUCUCUGGUGCCAAUGUCCCGCACUCCCUUUGUACUUUUCAUAGAGAUCUUUGAGAAGACAGGCAGUGGGGCUCUCACUUGGGAAAAGAGAAUUAAAUUAAGAGAAAAAAUAAGAAUGCUAGACUUGGGUUUUCUGGUUCCAUCCUUGUGCUUUGGAAGGAGUGGACUAUGGAGCCAGAGAGAUUGGUGCGCAGUCCUCCCCACUAUAUAAUCAGAGGUACAUCACCUCUUUUAUUUCUCCAGAUUCAUGUUCUUUCUCUUAAUCUCUGCUUCUAGUUUUUUUGUGAAGCUUAAUUUAUAUAAGUAUAAAUGACAUCUGACAUAUUGUGAGGGCCCAAGAAAAUUUUUCCUCAUUUCCCCUGAAAAUAAAAAUGCUACUUGUUAUAAUAAAGUUUACUUUAUGAUUUUAGAUAUGUAUUAUGUAUUAUGAUUUUAGAUAUGUAGAUAUGAUAGUUAGAUAUUUAAAGAUUCAUUUUCAGACUCACAAUUUUUAUUUGCUUAUAUAUUUUGCAAUGUAUCAUUUCUUAAUUUCCUUUAUGAUGCAUCACUUAUUUUAAUAUCAGACCUAUUUUUUUAAAGGAAGCAAUUGAUAGCUACUGAUGCAAAUGCUAUUCUUAUCAAAAGAUAAAUAGCAUUCCCUUAUGCUAAUGAAUAAAAAUUCCUACUCUACAGUUGUUAAUCAAUCUCGAGUUCUAAAGUCCGAUAAACCCAUUUAAUAGCAGAGGAUGAGCAUAUCAUUAAAUUGAUGGUCAGUCUCUGACUUGUGUUUACAUAUAGUCAUCUAAAAUGAAGUUAAGAAUUUGGGUCCCAAA
rnacentral:sRNA from 1 species